rnacentral:rRNA from 1 species
GACGAACGCUGGCGGCGCGCUUAACACAUGCAAGUCGAGCGAAGCGGCGGCCGGGUGAGUAACACGUGAGUAACCUGCCUUAGACAUUGGGAUAGCCUAGGGAAACCGGGCUUAAUACCAAAUGGUCUAAGAUGGACUCGCGUCCCAUUAGCUAGUUGGUGAGGUAACGGGCCACCAAGGCGACGAUGGGUAGCCGGCCUGAGAGGGUGAACGGCAACAUUGGAAGUGAGAAACGGUCCAAACUCUACGGGAGGCAGCAGUGGGGAAGAUGUCACAAUGGAGGGAACUCGGAUGCAGCGACGCCGCGAGAACGAAGAAGGCUUUCGAGUCGUAAAGUUCUUUUAUAUGGGAAGCGGUACCAGAAGAAAAAGCCCCGGCUAACUACGUGCCAGCCGCCGCGGUAAUUC